GAUGAACGCUGGCGGCGUGCCUAAUACAUGCAAGUCGAGCGAACGGACGAGGAGCUUGCUUCUCUGAUGUUAGCGGCGGACGGGUGAGUAACACGUGGAUAACCUACCUAUAAGACUGGGAUAACUUCGGGAAACCGGAGCUAAUACCGGAUAAUAUUUUGAACCGCAUGGUUCAAAAGUGAAAGACGGUCUUGCUGUCACUUAUAGAUGGAUCCACGCUGCAUUAGCUAGUUGGUAAGGUAACGGCUUACCAAGGCAACGAUGCGUAGCCGACCUGAGAGGGUGAUCGGCCACACUGGAACUGAGACACGGUCCAGACUCCUACGGGAGGCAGCAGUAGGGAAUCUUCCGCAAUGGGCGAAAGCCUGACGGAGCAACGCCGCGUGAGUGAUGAAGGUCUUCGGAUCGUAAAACUCUGUUAUUAGGGAAGAACAAAUGUGUAAGUAACUGUGCACAUCUUGACGGUACCUAAUCAGAAAGCCACGGCUAACUACGUG
rnacentral:rRNA from 1 species